rnacentral:rRNA from 1 species
UCGAGCGAGCGGAACUAACAGAUUUACUUCGGUAAUGACGUUAGGAAAGCGAGCGGCGGAUGGGUGAGUAACACGUGGGGAAUCUGCCCCAUAGUCUGGGAUACCACUUGGAAACAGGUGCUAAUACCGGAUAAGAAAGCAGAUCGCAUGAUCAGCUUUUAAAAGGCGGCGUAAGCUGUCGCUAUGGGAUGGCCCCGCGGUGCAUUAGCUAGUUGGUAAGGUAAAGGCUUACCAAGGCGAUGAUGCAUAGCCGAGUUGAGAGACUGAUCGGCCACAUUGGGACUGAGACACGGCCCAAACUCCUACGGGAGGCAGCAGUAGGGAAUCUUCCACAAUGGACGCAAGUCUGAUGGAGCAACGCCGCGUGAGUGAAGAAGGUUUUCGGAUCGUAAAGCUCUGUUGUUGGUGAAGAAGGAUAGAGGUAGUAACUGGCCUUUAUUUGACGGUAAUCAACCAGAAAGUCACGGCUAACUACGUGCCAGCAGCCGCGGUAAUACGUAGGUGGCAAGCGUUGUCCGGAUUUAUUGGGCGUAAAGCGAGCGCAGGCGGAAGAAUAAGUCUGAUGUGAAAGCCCUCGGCUUAACCGAGGAACUGCAUCGGAGACUGUUUUUCUUGAGUGCAGAAGAGGAGAGUGGAACUCCAUGUGUAGCGGUGAAAUGCGUAGAUAUAUGGAAGAACACCAGUGGCGAAGGCGGCUCUCUGGUCUGCAACUGACGCUGAGGCUCGAAAGCAUGGGUAGCGAACAGGAUUAGAUACCCUGGUAGUCCAUGCCGUAAACGAUGAGUGCUAAGUGUUGGGAG